rnacentral:rRNA from 1 species
AGCGUAGACGGAGUGGCAAGUCUGAUGUGAAAACCCGGGGCUCAACCCCGGGACUGCAUUGGAAACUGUCAAUCUAGAGUACCGGAGAGGUAAGCGGAAUUCCUAGUGUAGCGGUGAAAUGCGUAGAUAUUAGGAGGAACACCAGUGGCGAAGGCGGCUUACUGGACGGUAACUGACGCUGAGGAGCGAAAGCAUGGGGAGCGAACA